GCAGGGAAAAAAAUGAAAGAUAGGCUUCUGUGUCUUUUUAUAAUAUAUUUACACACUCCCAGAUUCUCAUAAACAAAAGCCUGAGACAAGAAGUCAGUGCUCAGUUUCUCGGUAGAUGAGCUUAUCACGUGAAGCACUUGUCGAUUUCUCCUUCUCUGGCUUUGAAAAACUGGAAUUCUGGAAGGUACCCUUCAUUGGGCUUCGAGUUGCACAGAGGACACUUGGAUCCUAUGGGGCUGAUAAGUACAAUUACGACUACACAGUGAUAAGCUAUUAUUGCUUUUAGUUGUAUUUUCUUAGUUUUCCUGAGGGCGGUUCAAUCCAUUGAAAUUGUAUCUCCUCCGCUUACAAACCAUGGGUGCCUUAGCGCUUGUUCAGCUGAGAAUCGCCGAGAAACAUCUCUGCAAAUCAUCUUUCUCAAUAGAUCCUUCGCCGCAGGCGAAACCGUCCUAAAUAUCCUCGGCGGAAAUCUCAGAUUCCCUCUAAUAACCGCUUCGAAGGUCUCCUCCACAGUCUCGCCGUAAAACGGCGGGAUCCCAGCUAACAUCACAUAUAAAACGACACCAGCGCUCCACACAUCAGCUUUCUCAUUAUACUCCCUUCCCAUCACCACCUCCGGCGCCACAUAAUACGGCGUUCCCACCAC
rnacentral:misc_RNA from 1 species